CACGACCGUAGUUGAAUUUGGCCGGAAAAACGAAACGGUGUUAUCGAUAUCAUCAGUGCAGUGUUCCGUUCUGUUCGCGCCUAAUCCAACCUCUGUCCUAAAACCCUCCGUCUGCGUUUGACCAUUCCCAUUUGAAAUCCUAAUACCCAGAAUUUUUCAACCUUUUUCCCCUAAAAUUCUUUCAAACUUCAUAUGGAUUUAUCUUCUGUGACUCUCCAGGCCUCUUGUUCUUUCCCGGUUAGAACCCCUACUCUCGCUGUCAGAGCCAUUAGAAACUCAGCUCGAAUCACCUUUUGUUGUUCCUCUUCUCGACUUGAAGCUUUGGCAAGGCUUGGGAACACGUGCUCGACGCAAAGGAAGAAUUCGAGCUCAAGGAAUAGUAAGCAUUACAGGGCCACCACGGAUUCAACGUCUCACUAUCGGAACCCAAGCGAUAUCUCCAGCUGCCAAGAAAUCCCAGAUGCCGAUUUUUGUGAUGGCCAGUCGGUGAGCCAGUGGCUCGUUCCUGACCGGCUCGCGCUUUGGCUUCGAUCGAGUCGUAGUUUAAAAGAGGUCAGAAGUAUACAUGCGGUGGUUGUGAAAUGUUUUCGGGAGUCUGUCAUCUACAUGGGUAAUAAUUUGAUAAGUACUUAUCUGGGGUUUGGGAAGGUAGUUGAAGCUCGUAAGGUGUUUGAUAAAUUGCCGAACAGGAAUGUGGUUACUUGGACUGCUCUCAUUAAUGGGUAUUUAAACGUUGGUUUGGAUGAUGAGGCUUUGAGGUUGUUUAAUGAUUCUAUUGAAAAUGGGAUCCGAGCAAAUGAAAAGAUGUUUGUGUGUGUUUUGAAUAUGUGCAGUAGGAGGUCGGAUUUUGAGCUUGGGAGUCAAUUUCAUGCCUGUAUUGUGAAAGGUGGUUCGAGGAACUUGAUUGUGGAUAGUUCCAUCGUUCAUUUCUAUGCGCAAUGUAGGAAACUGCCAAGUGCAUUUCGUGCAUUUGAUCGGAUGCAAGAGCAGGAUGUGGUUUGUUGGACAACUAUGAUUACGGCUUGUGCACAACAAGGACAUGGACAGGAGGCCAUUUCACUGUUCUCACGAAUGUUAAGUAAUGGAUCUUUCCCUAAUGAGUUUACAGUAUGUGGUGUUCUGAAGGCUUGUGGAGAGGAAAAGGCAUUCAAAUUUGGGAGGCAGUUACAUGGUACCAUAGUGAAGAAAAUGUUUAGGAAUGAUGUUUUUGUAGGGACUUCCCUCGUUGAUAUGUAUGCAAAAUGUGGGGAGAUGCUAGAUUCUAAAAAAGUCUUUAAUCGAAUGAGGUAUAGAAACAUGGUUACUUGGACAUCAUUUAUAGCUGGAUAUGCCCGAAAGGGACUUGGUGAGGAGGCCAUAAGACUCUUCAGAGUGAUGAAGAGACGAAAAAUAAAUUCUAACAACUGGACAAUUGUUAGCGUCCUCAGGGCUUGUGGCUCAAUUGAGGCUACACUAUUGGGAAGGGAACUUCAUGCACAAAUAAUUAAGAAAUCCAUCAAGACCAAUAUAUACAUAGCAAGCACUCUAGUAUGGUUUUACUGUAGAUGUGCAGAGUAUAAUCAUGCCUUCAAGGUCCUCCAGCAGAUGCCCCGUAGAGAUGUUGUAUCAUGGACUGCCAUUAUUUCAGGUGGUGCACGACUUGGGCAUGAGUCUGAGGCUCUUGAGUUCUUGGGAGAAAUGAUGGAGGAAGGUGUUGAUCCCAACUCUUUUACUUAUUCAUCAGCUUUGAAAGCGUGUGCUAAUCUGGAAACUGUCCGUCUAGGAAAAUUGAUUCAUUCUUGUGCAAACAAGACCCCUUCCUUGUCUAAUGUGUUUGUGGGUAGUGCAUUAAUCAAUAUGUAUGCAAAAUGCGGAUAUUUGUCAGAGGCAUCCCAAGUUUUUGACAGCAUGCCCGAUCGAAAUUUGGUUUCUUGGAAGGCUAUGAUUAUGGGUUAUGCAAAGAAUGGGCUCUGCCAAGAGGCUUUGAAGCUCAUGUAUCGGAUGAAAGCAUGUUUGAUCUAUGUACUGCAGGCAUCAGGUAUAUAUAUAUCAACUAAGAUACAGCGGGCGGAUUUAUACUGAGCUGCAGAUACAUCAUAAAUUGGUCUGCAGGAUUAGUGGUAAAAGAUAAACAGUGAAUGAAUGUAUCACAAGAAGUACUGGGAAUGAGGGACCAUCCCCGACUCCCGCUCUGCACCCUGUCAUCGCUCUUGUACAUGUUGAUAUAAACUAGGAAAGGUCGAAAGAAAAAGGGUGCAGAGGGUUCCAAUUCACUUCAUAAAUCCAACUCUCCCUGGGGCAUUUCUCGAGAACGAUGUAAUGUUACUCCUCCAUGAAUAUUGAGCAUCAUGGCUCGCAUCAGUAAGAGGGCAUUACUGUAGACAUGUUCAGGUACAUCAUGCACUCAGAGGAUGUUACAAGACAAUGGGAUAUUAUAAUUGCAAGCUGGUGUGGAGAACGCACCUUUCACACUAUUGAGAUGAUAUGAUUUGAUUUGUCAUAUGAUUUAAUUUUAAAAUUUUCUUAUAAAUCAAAUCUUAUCGGAAGUGUGCGGAUGUGUUCUCCAAUGAGUAGAACAGUUUGGAACAAAAGACCACUUGUAAUGUAUUCUCUAUUGUGUUGGGGAUGUUGAAGUUCAUUUAUACAAUAUCUCACUAUAUGAGAAAUAUGAUCUCAACUUGGAAAUACACGAUCAACUUGUAGAACUUACUAUUUAUUUGUUGAUUGUAGCUUCAA